ACGGAGGAUGCGAGCGUUAUCCGGAUUUAUUGGUUUUAAAGGGUCCUUAGCGGGUAGGUUAGUCAGUGGGGAAAACCCGGCGGUUAAACGUAGACUUGCCGUUGAUACUGUCAGUCUUGAGUAUGGUCAAGGUAGGCGGAAUGUGUAAUGUAGCGGUGAAAUGCUUAGAUAUUACACAGAACACCGAUUGCGAAGGCAGCUUGCUGGGCCAUUACUGACGCUGAUGCACGAAAGCGUGGGGAUCGAACAG
rnacentral:rRNA from 1 species